rnacentral:rRNA from 1 species
UACGAGGGGAGCGAGCGUUGUUCGGAAUUAUUGGGCGUAAAGGGUGCGUAGGCGGUUUGGUAAGUCUUAUGUGAAAUCUACAGGCUCAACUUGUAGUCUGCAUGAGAAACUGCCGGGCUUGAGUGUGGGAGAGGUGAGUGGAAUUCCUGGUGUAGCGGUGAAAUGCGUAGAUAUCAGGAGGAACACCUGUGGCGAAAGCGGCUCACUGGACCAUAACUGACGCUGAUGCACGAAAGCUAGGGGAGCAAACAGG